GAGUGGCGGACGGGUGAGUAAUGUCUGGGAAACUGCCUGAUGGAGGGGGAUAACUACUGGAAACGGUAGCUAAUACCGCAUAACGUCGCAAGACCAAAGAGGGGGACCUUCGGGCCUCUUGCCAUCGGAUGUGCCCAGAUGGGAUUAGCUUGUUGGUGGGGUAACGGCUCACCUAGGCGACGAUCCCUAGCUGGUCUGAGAGGAUGACCAGCCACACUGGAACUGAGACACGGUCCAGACUCCUACGGGAGGCAGCAGUGGGGAAUAUUGCACAAUGGGCGCAAGCCUGAUGCAGCCAUGCCGCGUGUAUGAAGAAGGCCUUCGGGUUGUAAAGUACUUUCAGCGGGGAGGAAGGGAGUAAAGUUAAUACCUUUGCUCAUUGACGUUACCCGCAGAAGAAGCACCGGCUAACUCCGUGCCAGCAGCCGCGGUAAUACGGAGGGUGCAAGCGUUAAUCGGAAUU
rnacentral:rRNA from 1 species